AGAGGCCGUCCUGUAGCCGGGCCGGCUUGGGGCUUGGUUCUAUGUCCCUGCGGGUCGGUGCAAGGGCGAAGAGGAACCCGUGGGCCUCAGGGGAUCCCGGGGGGCCGGACCAGUGUUCCCUAGUUGUGGGAGCAGACGCGUGGGCACAUUGCGGGCGGGCAGGGCCUGAAGUGCAGAAGUUUAUACGAGACCUAGUUUCCAGGGAAGAACUCACUGAUUCCGCGAGGGAGAUGGCUUAAUGGAUGAUGGUCGUCAGCCUUAAGGAUACUUCAGUCUUAACUGUGUGUUACAAAGUUUGAAAGGGAGGGUUCCCUAUGAAUAAGAAGCACACUUGAAAGAACAGCCAUCUGGUCUAACCUCUCACUGGUGCUUCAGAGGAGGAAAAAAGGUCACAGCUAUGUUUCCAGUGUCCUCUGGGUGUUUCCAAGAGCAACAAGAAAUGAAUAAAUCUCUGCCACCCUCCAGGGUGCCCCGACUCACUUUCCCUGCAGAUGGAGGCAAGGAGGCUCCACAGACAACCCCCCUGCCUGAGGUCACAUAGUGGCCAGCAGGCCAGAACAAAGAAGAGAAUAAGAAAAUAAUCAUCUGGUAACCAUCAUAGUAAUAAUUGUUCAAACACAAGUCAUCCAUGAAAUGCUAAAUCUAGUGGGUUCUGAGGAGUAACCAGAUAUUUACAGAGCCUCAAAGUAUCUCCAUACAAAAUACGGUUGAACUACAAAAAGAAAAUUGUAACAUUAGCAUGGACAAACCUGGCAGGUACUCCUUAACUCUCCUAAGUAAUAAAAACUGUAAAAUGCAAAUAAGCCUUCGAUGACCUUUACUAACCUUUACUAAAGUAUCAGUGAUGACUUGGUUGUUUAAACAGCUGACAUUUGGGCAAUUUGAGUAUGUCAAACUCAAUAAUACUGGUUUUCAUUUGCAAGAUCCACUUAAAACUUAAGGAGGCCAAAAAACAUCAUUUAAAAUACCCUAUAAAUUAUAAUCAUACAUAUGAUACAAAAAUAUCCUACUUCAGUAAAUAUUGGAAUGUUAUAUAUUUUAUGAGAAACAAUUAAAAUGUGUAAAUAGCCCAGUAAUAAAGUUUUAUAAUCUUUUAAAUCA
rnacentral:lncRNA from 1 species